UUCGCGGUGCAAUAAUAUUCCAAUCUAAAUGAGUUUUCAUCAACACACAAAUGGUUCAGGAUAUCUUGUGGAUUGAUCUACAGCUGUGGUGAAUAAGAAAAACGCAUCUUCAAAGUGUUUAUAAAAUUCACUUUCGUUUUGAUCGCAAAAGAUCGUAUAGCGUAUCAAAAUAUUCAUAAAUAUUAAGUGUUGCGUUUUUUAAACAUCCUGUAUAAGUGCGGUCAUUAUAUCGAUGAAAAGCCAUUUCAAGCUAGAAGAUUAAAUUUUAGCAGAUCAAAGAUGUUUGAAGUUGUUAAGAUCGUUGUUAUAUUCCUAGUCUUUGCAGAUAAUGCGGUUGAAUGUUUUAAACUUGGUCAGCUUUGCAGCUCAAAUGGUAGAAAUUUAAUCCGUGAAUGUGACAGUCAGGGUUGUGGUGAUUUCGGAACACCAAGAGGUUCUCGUACACACAAUGGUGUCGACAUAAUUUGAAAACCAGGGAGUUCUGUCAUGACAACAUUUGCUGCGAAGAUCUGACGAAAAUCACGUUCUUAUUCAAACAACAACAAACCAUAUAACAAUGGAUUGUAUAUUCAAGGAAGCGGAGAAGCCGAAGAUAUAAAAUGGAUAUUU